CUCCCUAACAGACCAAAUGGCCUUGUACUAAGAGCUGGCUAUCACCCCCCUUCCUCCCUAUUCCUUUCUUGGCACCUAAGGCUGUAAAAGCUGAAUUAUAGUCCCCUCUUCCCUAUCUCUUCCUGAGUUCCCAUGCCAUCCAAGGACAUUAGUUACGCCUGGCCCAGCCUGACCCUCAAGGCUGUCAAGGAGGAUGAUGUUCCAGAGAUAAGAUCCAGAGUGCCCGCUGCCUGGCGCCUGACUUCGGCCUCCAUGUCAUCAGAUGCCCACUUCUUUGUUCUUUGUAUAAUUCUCCCUCCAACCCUCCCAUAUUCCCCAUGAUGUAUGCUUUAAAAAGAAGGCACCUCAGCCUAAUAAACGAGACCUUGAUAGGCACAUUCUUAGUCUCCCCUCUUCUUUCUCUUCCUCCCAUCUCCUUCCAGGUUUGUGGUCCCCCUCGCACCCACGAAUAACUGAAUCCCGCAAGACGGGAUAAUUUCACACUGCACAAGAGACUUCACAUAAGAGAUUUUCAGGGCAACAGGUAUACAAGGGUUGGCUGCAUCUGCUUGUGUGAGAAAUAGCACAGAACUGAGCAGAAGGCAGGAUUUAUAUAGUUUCCUGGGAUGGGUUCCAAGAUAACUUGGAAUUAGAAGGACUCUUUGAAAUAAUUCCAAAGUUCAUUGUAUCAUUGACGGGCUUGGUAAAGAAAAAAUGUUACAGAUUCUGAUUUUGUAAUAGGUUCAAGUUAGCAAAAGGGUGUUUUAUUCUUCUUUUUCUUUAGCCCUCUGCUCAAGAACAUGCCUGUCUUAGGAAGUUCUUCUCUUGGCAUCUUUACCCUACAAAUUAUAUUUUCUAUUCUCUGGGUCUUGUUUACACAGCUUGGUGUCUAUGUAAGUGCACAGAGUCUAGGAAAGGACUUUUCUUCUUCUCAAGUUGAAGGUACAGGUGAGCUCUUCAACAAGGGCAUAAAUAUUCACUGGAGAAAAUAUGGAAACAAAGUGUGGAGCAGAGACUGAAGGAAAGUCCAUCCAGAGACUGCCCUCCUGGAUAACAUCAAGCCCAUACACAAGCACCAAUCCUGGAUGUUAUUGUGGAUGCUGGGAAGUGCUUGCUGAGAGAAGUCUGAUAUGGCUUUCCCCUGAGAGGCUUACCAGAGUCUGACAAAUACAGAGGAGGAAGCUCACAGCCAACCAUUGGAAUCAGCUCUGUGGUCCCCGAUGCCAGAUGGAGAAGGGACUGAAGAAGCUGUGGGGGUUGUUGCCCCUUAGAGGGAGCUACAGUAACAACUGGUCAGACCCCCUAGAAGCUUCCGGGGACUGUACCACCGACUAAAAGUACAUGUGGAGUGACCCAUGGUGCUGGCUGCAUAUGUGGCAGAUGAUGGCCUUGAUGAAUCUCAGUGGGAGGAAAGGCCUGAUGGUGUUCACUGCCCCAGUGUAAGGGAAUGCCAGGGCAGACGAAUGGGACUGGGUGGGCUGGGGUAUACCCUCAUAGGAGCAGGGGAUUUCUGAAAGGGAAAUCUGGCAAGGGGAAAAAAUUGAAACGUAAAUAAAGAAAAUAUCCAAGAAAAAAAAAAGAAUCA
rnacentral:lncRNA from 1 species